rnacentral:rRNA from 1 species
GACGAACGCUGGCGGCGUGCUUAACACAUGCAAGUCGAGCGGAGCGGCGAACGGGUGAGUAACGCGUGAGUAACUGCCCCCCUCUCUGGGAUCACAGUUGGAAACGGCUGCUAAUACCGGCUAGUGGGGGAUGACUCGCGUCCUAUCAGCUUGUUGGUGGGGUAGUGGCCUACCAAGGCGACAACGGGCAGCCGGACUGAGAGGGCGACCGGCCGCAUUGGGCUGAGAUACGGCCCAAACUCCUAAGGGAGGCAGAAGUGGGGAAGAUUGCACAAGGGGGGAAACCCUGAUGCAGAAACGCCGCGUGCGGGAUGACGGCCUUCGGGUUGAAAACCGAGUUCAGCCAUGACGCGGUAGUGGCAGAAGAAGCACCGGCUAACUACGUGCCAGCAGCCCCGGUAAUAC